UACGGGGGGGGUAAGCGUUGUUCGGAAUUACUGGGCGUAAAGGGCUCGUAGGCGGCCAACUAAGUCGGACGUGAAAUCCCUCAGCUUAACUGGGGAACUGCGUCCGAUACUGGAUGGCUUGGAUUUGGGAGAGGGAUGCGGAAUUCCAGGUGUAGCGGUGAAAUGCGUAGAUAUCUGGAGGAACACCGGUGGCGAAGGCGGCAUCCUGGACCAAUAUUGACGCUGAGGAGUGAAAGCUAGGGGAGCAAACGGG
rnacentral:rRNA from 1 species